rnacentral:lncRNA from 1 species
AACCAAUGGUUCUUUAAUCUCUAUCCAAUCCUCUUGAUUGUUGUCGUUGCAUCGCAUGCGUAGUCCUCGUGCCACAUGCAUCAAAGGACGCAUACAAACAACAAAGAAAGAGAGACGAGAAUCAAGCCUCUCAAAGAAGCAGUUGUGGCCCCUUAAGCGGUAAAACCACUUGUCACACAGAAUAAUCGAAUAACAACGAUUGUAAUCAUAGCUAUCUAAACAAGCAUAACAAACAAUUUGCCGAGGGUUGAACACCCCCGAAUCCAAAC